GAUGAACGCUGGCGGCGUGCCUAAUACAUGCAAGUCGAGCGAACAGACGAGGAGCUUGCUCCUCUGACGUUAGCGGCGGACGGGUGAGUAACACGUGGAUAACCUACCUAUAAGACUGGGAUAACGUCGGGAAACCGGAGCUAAUACCGGAUAAUAUAUUGAACCGCAUGGUUCAAUAGUGAAAGACGGUUUUGCUGUCACGUAUAGAUGGAUCCGCGCCGCAUUAGCUAGUUGGUAAGGUAACGGCUUACCAAGGCAACGAUGCGUAGCCGACCUGAGAGGGUGAUCGGCCACACUGGAACUGAGACACGGUCCAGACUCCUACGGGAGGCAGCAGUAGGGAAUCUUGCGCAAUGGGCGAAAGCUUGACGGAGCAACGCCGCGUGAGUGAUGAAGGUCUUCGGAUCGUAAAACUCUGUUAUUAGGGACGAAAAAAUGUGUAAGUAACUAUGCACGUCUUGACGGUACCUAAUCAGAAAGCAACGGCUAACUACGUG
rnacentral:rRNA from 1 species